GUAUUAAUCAAAAUAUAUGCAAGAUGAUUAUAGAUAGUGUACGUACCUUAUAUCAUGUCUGGGUUGGCUUCUGCAUCUUACUGAGUGAGGUUGUAAGGUUUGCCCUAGAUAGGAGGUCUAUCCUGAUUCUAGUUCCACGGGCACUCUCUCGCGUAAUGCUUGGCACUCCCACAUAUACGGUAAGUAUUUUUGAGGCGAUAGUAGGGUCGAUGCCCAUGAUCCUUGCUACAGUGCAUGCAAGUCUUACCGCAUCCUAUUGUCGGAAUUGGAGGAGAAGCCUAAGUCACUGACCUAGGCCUCUUGUUUUGCUGAACAGAUAGAGUGGGUACUGGUCUGCGGUGUGAAAUCGGAG
rnacentral:lncRNA from 1 species